rnacentral:rRNA from 1 species
AGAGUUUGAUCCUGGCUCAGAUUGAACGCUGGCGGCAUGCUUUACACAUGCAAGUCGGACGGCAGCGGGGUAGUGCUUGCACUACUGCCGGCGAGUGGCGAACGGGUGAGUAAUAUAUUGGAACGUACCGAGUAAUGGGGGAUAACCAAUCGAAAGAUUGGCUAAUACCGCAUACGCUCUGAGGAGGAAAGCAGGGGACCUUCGGGCCUUGCGUUAUUCGAGCGGCCAAUAUCUGAUUAGCUAGUUGGUGGGGUAAAGGCCUACCAAGGCGACGAUCAGUAGCGGGUCUGAGAGGAUGAUCCGCCACACUGGGACUGAGACACGGCCCAGACUCCUACGGGAGGCAGCAGUGGGGAAUUUUGGACAAUGGGCGCAAGCCUGAUCCAGCCAUGCCGCGUGUCUGAAGAAGGCCUUCGGGUUGUAAAGGACUUUUGUUAGGGAAGAAAAAGGAGCGGUUAAUACCCGUUUCUGCUGACGGUACCUAAAGAAUAAGCACCGGCUAACUACGUGCCAGCAGCCGCGGUAAUACGUAGGGUGCGAGCGUUAAUCGGAAUUACUGGGCGUAAAGCGAGCGCAGACGGUUUGUUAAGCAGGAUGUGAAAUCCCCGGGCUCAACCUGGGAACUGCGUUCUGAACUGGCAGGCUAGAGUGUGUCAGAGGGGGGUAGAAUUCCACGUGUAGCAGUGAAAUGCGUAGAGAUGUGGAGGAAUACCGAUGGCGAAGGCAGCCCCCUGGGAUAAUACUGACGUUCAUGCUCGAAAGCGUGGGUAGCAAACAGGAUUAGAUACCCUGGUAGUCCACGCCCUAAACGAUGUCGAUUAGCUGUUGGGCAGCUUGACUGCUUAGUAGCGUAGCUAACGCGUGAAAUCGACCGCCUGGGGAGUACGGUCGCAAGAUUAAAACUCAAAGGAAUUGACGGGGACC